AGGGGUUUGCUCCGUGGUUAAGACGUUGGACUACUGAUCAGAAGGUCAUGAGUUCAAAACCCAGCACUGCUG